UAUCGACAAGUUCUUGUCCCUUCCGAGCUUCCAAGUAUUGUCGAAACUGACAUAUUGCAUGUACAUAUUUCAUUUCAUGAUAAUACUGGUGAAGGUGGCAUCAUUGAAGACUGUGGUGCAUUUUUCGAUAUAUGAUCAGCUAAUCGAGACUUGGGGAUUAACAGUGGUGACAAUAGGCAUAUCGUUCUUAGCAAGCUUGACAUUCGAAUUACCCAUAUUCACCCUGGAGAAUUACGUCAUCAGUAGAUGUAUCAAAGAUGAAAUCCUACCCUCGUUCAACAGGAAAUGUGAAGAAACACGGAAGUUAGGAUUUUUUUUGAAACCGAAGAAGACGAAAUAAAUUAGAUGUGAAUUAACACCAAGAUUAAACAAGGUGAUAAUCGAAA